rnacentral:rRNA from 1 species
CGAAACCGAGUGAUCUAGCCAUGGGCAGGUUGAAGGUUGAGUAACAUCAACUGGAGGACCGAACCGACUAAUGUUGAAAAAUUAGCGGAUGACUUGUGGCUAGGGGUGAAAGGCCAAUCAAACUCGGAGAUAGCUGGUUCUCCCCGAAAGCUAUUUAGGUAGCGCCUCGGACGAAUACUACUGGGGGUAGAGCACUGUUAAGGCUAGGGGGUCAUCCCGACUUACCAACCCUUUGCAAACUCCGAAUACCAGUAAGUACUAUCCGGGAGACACACGGCGGGUGCUAACGUCCGUCGUGGAGAGGGAAACAACCCAGACCGCCAGCUAAGGUCCCAAAUUACAGCUAAGUGGGAAACGAUGUGGGAAGGCUUAGACAGCUAGGAUGUUGGCUUAGAAGCAGCCAUCAUUUAAAGAAAGCGUAAUAGCUCACUAGUCGAGUCGGCCUGCGCGGAAGAUGUAACGGGGCUAAGUUGUAAACCGAAGCUGCGGCAAUGUUCUAUGAACAUUGGGUAGGGGAGCGUUCUGUAAGCCGUUGAAGGUGUGUUGUAAAGCAUGCUGGAGGUAUCAGAAGUGCGAAUGCUGACAUGAGUAACGACAAGGGGGGUGAAAAACCUCCCCGCCGGAAGACCAAGGGUUCCUGUCCAACGUUAAUCGGGGCAGGGUAAGUCGACCCCUAAGGCGAGGCUGAAAAGCGUAGUCGAUGGGAAACGGGUUAAUAUUCCCGUACUUCUUACAAUUGCGAUGGGGGGACGGAGAAGGCUAGGUGGGCCUGGCGACGGUUGUCCAGGUUCAAGUGCGUAGGCUGAGUGUUUAGGUAAAUCCGGAUACUCUUAAGGCUGAGACACGACGUCGAGCUACUACGGUAGUGAAGUCAUUGAUGCCAUGCUUCCAGGAAAAGCCUCUAAGCUUCAGAUUGUAAGGAAUCGUACCCCAAACCGACACAGGUGGUCGGGUAGAGAAUACCAAGGCGCUUGAGAGAACUCGGGUGAAGGAACUAGGCAAAAUGGUACCGUAACUUCGGGAGAAGGUACGCUCUUGAUGGUGAAGUCCCUUGCGGAUGGAGCUGACGAGAGUCGCAGAUACCAGGUGGCUGCAACUGUUUAUUAAAAACACAGCACUGUGCAAAAUCGUAAGAUGACGUAUACGGUGUGACGCCUGCCCGGUGCCGGAA